AGAGUUUGACUCCUGGCUCAGGACGAACGCUGGCGGCGUGCUUAACACAUGCAAGUCGAACGCUGAAGCCUAGCUUGCUGGGUGGAUGAGUGGCGAACGGGUGAGUAACACGUGAGUAACCUGCCCUCUUCUUUGGGAUAACGCCCGGAAACGGGUGCUAAUACUGGAUAUUCACUGGCCUUCGCAUGGGGGUUGGUGGAAAGGUUUUUUCUGGUGGGGGAUGGGCUCGCGGCCUAUCAGCUUGUUGGUGGGGUGAUGGCCUACCAAGGCUUUGACGGGUAGCCGGCCUGAGAGGGUGACCGGUCACAUUGGGACUGAGAUACGGCCCAGACUCCUACGGGAGGCAGCAGUGGGGAAUAUUGCACAAUGGGCGAAAGCCUGAUGCAGCGACGCCGCGUGAGGGAUGGAGGCCUUCGGGUUGUAAACCUCUUUCGCUCAUGGUCAAGCCGCAACAUUUGGUUGUGGUGAGGGUAGUGGGUAAAGAAGCGCCGGCUAACUACGUG
rnacentral:rRNA from 1 species